rnacentral:rRNA from 1 species
AUACGAAGGGCCCGAGCGUUGCGCGGAAUCAUUGGGCUUAAAGGGUGCGUAGGCGGACCUGCAAGUACUUUGUGAAAGCCCACGGCUUAACCGUGGAACUGCUUGGUAGACUGCAGGUCUUGAGCUCGGCAGAGGCGGUCGGAACUCUAGGUGGAGCGGUGAAAUGCGUAGAUAUCUAGAGGAACGCCGGAGGCGAAAGCGGCUCUCUGGCCAAUUACUGACGCUGAGGCGCGAAAGCUAGGGUAGCAAACAGGAUUAGAAACCCUAGUAGUCC